UACGGGGGGGGCAAGCGUUGUUCGGAAUUACUGGGCGUAAAGGGCUCGUAGGCGGCCAACUCAGUCGGACGUGAAAUCCCUCGGCUUAACCGGGGAACUGCGUCCGAUACUGGAUGGCUUGAGUGUGGGAGAGGGAUGCGGAAUUCCAGGUGUAGCGGUGAAAUGCGUAGAGAUGGGGGAGAACACUCGUGGCGAAGGCGGCCAGCUAGACCAGUUCUGACACUGAGGCGCGACAGCGUGGGGAGCAAACAGG
rnacentral:rRNA from 1 species